rnacentral:pre_miRNA from 1 species
AAUAAAUACAGUUUUAACACGGUUCAUGCUCUCGUCUUAUUUGAAAAAUAAUUAUGAUUAGUAUUAUUAUUAUUAUUAGAUGAUAAUGCAUGAAUAGUACUUUAUGUGUGACUAAUAUUUUUAAUUUUUUUCAUAAAAUUUUUAAAUAAGACGGACGCUCAAAAAUGAUGAAUAUAUAUCUAUGGCUGUAUUUAUU